AGUGUGGACACUAAUGUGGGUAGUGAGAGUAGAAUAUAAAAGCUUUAUCUAGCUAAGGAAAAUUGGGCCCACACCAAACAGGACAUUGCCUUUCAGAGGAAGGACCACUUGAACAGGUCAUAUGCCUUGGAAGUGCAUAAAGAAACUACUGUACAAUUGCCUCGGUCUCAUCUUCAUGGGAUGCCUGAAAAGUGGGAAAAGGUGUACUUUCCCAGCAUAUAAUUGUCUGGUCUUGAUGAACAAUAGAGGCCUUUCAUCUAGGUUCGGGUAUCAUUAGAUCUGGAGAAUAUGUUGAGCACCAGUAGAGAGAAUCACCAAUAGCCUGCACAAGAGGUGCACUGGAUGUGUCCAUGCUAUGGCUCCCCACUGGAAGACAAGCCUUCUGCCACUACUGAACUGGUGUCCUUGAUGGUGGAGGUGUCACUGCCUUUGAUGGACCUAUAGAAGGAGUUUUAUUUCACACUAAAAAUGAGUGCUUAAUAGGCCAAAAUUAUUUUCACAUUGUCACAUAGUAUUUACCUGCAAACUCAUGGAUCUUUGUGGCCAUUGCUUUUUUUCUUUCCUUUUGUGGUGUUGUGAAGUAACACCAAACAAACAUUAAAAUUGUAAAAUGAUAUUC